rnacentral:lncRNA from 1 species
GCGAAGUUCUCGGGAAUCGCCUCAUGGCGAGAAAGAUAUCAUUCCUCUUGGGAAUCUCCUCAUGGCCCAGGGGGUUUUGUGCACGCCAAAGAAGAGUGCAGCGGCUCUCCAAGUAGGUUGCAGCUUGAUCCUUGAUGUACUUGGGCAUCCACAGGACAUGGAAUCCGCUUGAGUGACACUCAUAUCCAUGGCGGUCACAACCAUAGCCACUUCCAUACCCGAUGGUGCAAGUAUGGCGCCACUUCAUCAUGGCAUUAUUGGCUAUGGUUGUGCAUGUGCCCAGGGCACAGUCAUAGCCAAUCAUCACACACGGCCAGUUCCAGGCUUGAUCAACGAAAGGUAUGGACAUCAGAAAGUUUCUGAAUGUUACUUUGAUCUUUCAACACAGUUUGUAGAAGUAACAGAUUGCCUAGAAGGGUCCUUUGGUUAGUCAUUCCAGCAUGGUCCAGUAUUUUAUUUUUGCCCAUGCUCUUAUUUUGAUAUUUACAGCUCGAGCUCUCUAUCUCUCAAGCACAGGACUUUUGAUACAAACCAAAACCUUGUUUUUCUUUGUCUAGGGUCUCUCUGAGUGCCAUGCAAAGGCGAGCAGGCCAUGGCUAUGUAUAACAACGCUCUCUAAGUAGCUCUCAAAGGCAUGCUCUAGCGGCAGCAAAGCUUUCUCGGUUGGCAGUGCUGUGGUUGGGGCCGUAUAGUUUCUUGGCCUCAUCCACGAAGAGGAAGCGCAAAGACAGGGCUGCAUACUUCCAGGCCUUGUCCUACAGAUUUGUAAGUCCUCUCUUUUUCAUACUCUUACAAAGAUUCAACAGCUUAAACUCCUGCCAAGCACCUCUAGUCUAGUAUAUCUCUAUAAGCAGCCCAGCACAUUGAUCAUGUGCUUCCUCGUCCACAAUCCAUGCUCACAAGCCCUUGUGCAAUGAACCCUGCUAAACUGUGAGAAGGAAGUCUAGCUGGAAU